AGUAAUACAUCGGAACGUGUCUUCUAGUGGGGGAUAACUGCCCAAAGGGCAGCUAAUACCGCAUGAGACCUGAGGGUGAAAGCGGGGGAUCGCAAGACCUCGCGCUGGAAGAGCGGCCGAUGUCCGAUUAGCUAGUUGGUGAGGUAAAGGCUCACCAAGGCGACGAUCGGUAGCUAGUCUGAGAGGACGACCAGCCACACUGGGACUGAGACACGGCCCAG
rnacentral:rRNA from 1 species